UGACACACCAUAUUUUACUUAUAACCUGAAUGACACACCAUAUUUUUCAAUCCAUUCGGCCAUUUUCACAGGCUGUAAUUGCUAUUUGCGCAGUUCGUGGAAGUUGCAGAGGAUGUGUUCAUCGCAUUUCAAAAAUGAUAUAAUAUGUACAGCAAAAAUUGAUGGCAAGGGUGACAUGAAUCAGAAUGACAAGAAUCCAUAUUCCUACUCCUCAGUAACGCUAUCAUCACUGCCAUCAGAUUCAUCAAUGAUAGUGGCACCAGUGACAUAUGCGGAUCAGUCUUGAACAUCACUGCAGGAAUAGCUUCCUUGUUGUGUCUGCCAAUAGCAAGGUACCAGACCAUACAACAGCUAUGUGGAAACAGAUUCCCACAACACGGGCACCAAAUGGACACCUGCAGUAUCAGGCAGAUAUGUCAGAAUUGGAAAAACUGGAUCCAAACAAGACUAUUUCUUGGAAGAAACAUGUCGACUUUGAAGUUUAACCUUUAAUAACCCAUGGAACUUCCAAGAGAAAUCCUGAUACCAUGGUUCUAUGUGUUUAUGUCAUUUGAAAUAUAGCUGUGGGUUUUCAAAGUUUUUUGGAUUUGUUAAUUGGAAGAAUUAAUAUUUGAUGGUUCAAAUGAAAAUCCGCAUGUUGAAUUGUGAAUGUCAAAAUUUGUCUAAUUUUUUAAAUGAGUUCAAGAAUGGCAGACCUGAUGACAAGUGUAGAGUCAAAAGUUAACAAACUGUCCAAAACACCUGGUUUGAAUUCAUCAUCUUGGAACCACAUGAAUUGGACACCUUGCAGUUAGAAUAAUGAUCGAAGAAAUGCUGAAAAUCUUGCAAAGGGGGAAACGACAAGUUUCGGUCCAAGGCACUUGCAGCUAUGCACGAGAAGGUGUUCUAUCCAGGUCUGGGGUCAAUUACAUAGCAAUGUAAUCCAUUACAUUACCAUUACUUAGAAAAUUUCACAUUACUAUUGCCAUUACUCCUAUUUUGAAAGGUAAUGCAUUACAUUACAUUACUUGAGAGUGUAUUACAUUACACAUUUACAUAACAUACGAACAUACUGAUUAAAAGAAUGGCAGAAAAAAUAUUUCUUUAUAAUGAUUUAUGAUUUUUAAUUAUACAGUAACAUAAGCACAAAAAAUAUUCAUCAAUGUUAGGAAACACAUCUAAGUUAUAUUAAAAUUGCAUUUGAUUGUCAUCAAUGUUUCAGUCAAUCACUAAUAUAAUUAAUUAAUCUUACUAAUCUUCAAAAUAUCAUCAACUAUUUGAAGUAAUGUAAAUGUAAUGGAAUAUAAUGUGCAGUACAGUAUAUUUUCUACAAGUAAUGCCAUUACAUUAGCAUUACUUGUUAUUCAAAAAUGGUCCAUUAGACCAUUACACCCCUAUUACACUGCAACUGGCUGUCAUUUAGUUACCAUUACCCCAGGCCUGGUUCUAUCGAGAGGUUAUUGAAAUUGUCUUUGGAGGUUUUGUCUCAGGAAGUGGUCGAGAUUGAUUGCGACAUUUUUGUUGGAUGUGAUACACAUGUCUACACUUGCUACACAAUAUAUCAUGUGGUGGUUUCAACAAGAAAGUUCUUGCUCCGGAAACGACAAAUAGCUAUGGAUUCACAUUUUUUCUGACUUUUCUUCUGUACAUUAGAUGCAUUGGAACAAAAAUGUUACUUUCCAUUAUCUUUUACUGGUUCAUACUUUGCAAUAAAAUCAACUCUGAAAAUGUA